rnacentral:rRNA from 1 species
UGUUGCCUACGGGAGGCAGCAGUGGGGAAUAUUGCACAAUGGGGGAAACCCUGAUGCAGCGACGCCGCGUGAGUGAAGAAGUAUCUCGGUACGUAAAGCUCUAUCAGCAGGGAAGAAAAUGACGGUACCUGACUAAGAAGCCCCGGCUAACUACGUGCCAGCAGCCGCGGUAAUACGUAGGGGGCAAGCGUUAUCCGGAUUUACUGGGUGUAAAGGGCGUGCAGCCGGGAAGACAAGUCAGAUGUGAAAUCCCGCGGCUCAACCGCGGAACUGCAUUUGAAACUGUUUUUCUUGAGUACCGGAGG